rnacentral:rRNA from 1 species
GUGCAUUAGCUAGUUGGUAAGGUAAACGGCUUACCAAGGCGAUGAUGCAUAGCCCGAGUUGAGAGACUGAUCGGGCCACAUUGGGGACUGAGACACGGGCCCAAAAACUCCUACGGGGAGGCAGCAGUAGGGAAUCUUCCACAAUGGACGCAAGUCUGAUGGAGCAACGCCGCGUGAGUGAAGUAAGGUUUUCGGAUCGUAAAGCUCUGUUGUUGGUGAAGAAGGAUAGAGGUAGUAACUGGCCUUUAUUUGACGGUAAUCAACCAGAAAGUCACGGCUAACUACGUGCCCAGCAGCCGCGGGUAAU